rnacentral:rRNA from 1 species
UACGUAGGGCGCAAGCGUUAUCCGGAAUUAUUGGGCGUAAAGAGCUCGUAGGCGGUUUGUCGCGUCUGCCGUGAAAGUCCGGGGCUCAACUCCGGAUCUGCGGUGGGUACGGGCAGACUAGAGUGAUGUAGGGGGAGACUGGAAUUCCUGGUGUAGCGGUGAAAUGCGCAGAUAUCAGGAGGAACACCGGGUGGCGAAGGCGGGUCUCUGGGCCGAUACUGACGCUGAGGAGCGAAAGCGUGGGGGAGCAAACAGG